GUAGUUGGCAGUGUAGUAAAGCUCAUGUACAUUAGUUUUAAACCUCCUGUGUAAAUUGCACUGAGAACAUUUUCCAUAGACUACAGAAUAUUUUCCCGGUCUUUACAAAUUUAACAUUUGCCUCAUAAUGGAUCUAACAGGACACUGGUGAAUUAGUGUUUUCACCAUCAACAAACUUAAACCUUUACUUAGUGCGUACAAUAAGUAAUGUAGUAUUAAUUUAAAAAUUACAAAUAAAAAAUACAGCUGUGGAUAGAGGUAAAGGUGAACUUCACUGUCACGAGACAUGUUUGCAUAAUAGAGAUAAGUGACAUAAUUUUUAGUAACAAGUAUAAAUAACAAUAUAAAUGUUAGCCAUGAGAAACCACAAUAUAAAAAUAAUACUCCAUAUAUACACUGCUCAAAAAAAUGAAGGGAACACUUAAAUCACACAUCAGAUUUUGAUGAACGAAUUAUUCAAGUUGAAAUCUUUACUGAUGUACAUUGUUUAAUUGUCGAGAACAAAAUGACAUAACAAUGGUCAAUGGAAACCAAAAUCAUCAACCCUUUGAGAGCUGGAUUCACAGUCACACCGAAAAUCUAAGUAAAAAUUGAAAUCACAGGCUGAUCCCACUUGCGUGAAUUUCAUCACGGCAACUGAUAAUGUGUCAUAAUGAGUCAGUAGUGUGUUUGGCCCCCACAUGGCUGUAUACACUCCUGACAAUGUCUGGGCAUGGUCCUGAUGAGUCGGUGGAAGGUGUCCUGCAGAGAUCUCCUUCCAGACAUGGAUCAGGGCAUCAGUGAGCUCCUGGACAGUUCUCAAUUGGAUUUAGGUCAGGGGAACAUGAGGGCCAGUCAGUGGCAUCAAUGCCUUUGUUAAAUCACAACUCUUCACUUCCUGUAUCAACACCCUACCAAUCCUUAGUUGGCCACUCCCCCCAAGGCUAUUUAGGUCAGCCCUUUAGGCCUGCAACUUCCUCUCUAUUUCCCUCCAAACACCAGCCAGAACAAAGAGAGGAUGGAUGUGAGUUAUGAGUUAGACUUUUUACCCUAAAAUAAUUGAUUUGUUUGAUUGAUAUGGCAUGUCUUGUCUUGUCUGAGAGUAAUUGUUUUAUUUCAUUAUACUAGAUACCUGAGUUAAUCCUUGUGUUGUUUGAGUAGAAAGCCAGAUUAAGGAUGCAUUGAUGAAAAAAAAUCUGCUGCUGGAUUGAUGCCCUUCUACGGCCCUGUCCAGCUCUCCUCGUGUAACGGCCGGUCUCCUGGUAUCUCCUCCAUGCUCUUGAGACUGUGCUGGGAGACACAGCAAACCUUCUUGACACCGCAGAACUGCUCCGACAAGAAACCAUGUUCAACGGCAAAGAAGCAAAACAUGGGUGAAUGCUGGUGUGUUUUUCCACCACAGAAGACAGCUCAGACAGAGUAAAGAGAUGAGACUUCUUUUAGACUGGACCAGAAUUCCAGUCCAGUCUUCCCCAGUGAUGGACCAGCACCUGCCUUUUCUUCUGUGUCUGGCAUCAUCAACCAUCAACAACCACAUUACAGUAACACCUUGGAGUAUUAUUCCUCCACAGAACACAUAUUGUCUAUACUGUGAUCUUUUGCACAUCCUGCUCAGCAGGAGUUUGUCGGCACUUUUGUACAUAGUUUUUUUUCAUAGUUUUAUUUUUUAAAUAUGUGUAUCUAUGUUUAUUUAUCUUUUUGACUGUUUCAGUAUUUACCUUUGUGUUGUUAUUUCCUGUUAAUAUGUUAUGCACCAAACACCAAGCCAAAUAUCUUGUAAGUAAAAACCUA